AGAGUUUGAUCAUGGCUCAGGACGAACGCUGGCGGCGUACCUAAUACAUGCAAGUAGAACGCUGAAGAGAGGAGCUUGCUCUUCUUGGAUGAGUUGCGAACGGGUGAGUAACGCGUAGGUAACCUGCCUUGUAGCGGGGGAUAACUAUUGGAAACGAUAGCUAAUACCGCAUAACAAUGGAUGACCCAUGUCAUUUAUUUGAAAGGGGCAAAUGCUCCACUACAAGAUGGACCUGCGUUGUAUUAGCUAGUAGGUGAGGUAACGGCUCACCUAGGCGACGAUACAUAGCCGACCUGAGAGGGUGAUCGGCCACACUGGGACUGAGACACGGCCCAGACUCCUACGGGAGGCAGCAGUAGGGAAUCUUCGGCAAUGGGGGCAACCCUGACCGAGCAACGCCGCGUGAGUGAAGAAGGUUUUCGGAUCGUAAAGCUCUGUUGUAAGUCAAGAACGAGUGUGAGAGUGGAAAGUUCACACUGUGACGGUAGCUUACCAGAAAGGGACGGCUAACUACGUGCCAGCAGCCGCGGUAAUACGUAGGUCCCGAGCGUUGUCCGGAUUUAUUGGGCGUAAAGCGAGCGCAGGCGGUUUGAUAAGUCUGAAGUUAAAGGCUGUGGCUCAACCAUAGUUCGCUUUGGAAACUGUCAAACUUGAGUGCAGGAGGGGAGAGUGGAAUUCCAUGUGUAGCGGUGAAAUGCGUAGAUAUAUGGAGGAACACCGGUGGCGAAAGCGGCUCUCUGGUCUGUAACUGACGCUGAGGCUCGAAAGCGUGGGGAGCGAACAGGAUUAGAUACCCUGGUAGUCCACGCCGUAAACGAUGAGUGCUAGGUGUUGGAUCCUUUCCGGGAUUCAGUGCCGCAGCUAACGCAUUAAGCACUCCGCCUGGGGAGUACGACCGCAAGGUUGAAACUCAAAGGAAUUGACGGGGGCCCGCACAAGCGGUGGAGCAUGUGGUUUAAUUCGAAGCAACGCGAAGAACCUUACCAGGUCUUGACAUCCCGAUGCUAUUUCUAGAGAUAGAAAGUUACUUCGGUACAUCGGUGACAGGUGGUGCAUGGUUGUCGUCAGCUCGUGUCGUGAGAUGUUGGGUUAAGUCCCGCAACGAGCGCAACCCCUAUUGUUAGUUGCCAUCAUUCAGUUGGGCACUCUAGCGAGACUGCCGGUAAUAAACCGGAGGAAGGUGGGGAUGACGUCAAAUCAUCAUGCCCCUUAUGACCUGGGCUACACACGUGCUACAAUGGUUGGUACAACGAGUUGCGAGUCGGUGACGGCAAGCUAAUCUCUUAAAGCCAAUCUCAGUUCGGAUUGUAGGCUGCAACCCGCCUACAUGACGUCGGAAUCGCUAGUAAUCGCGGAUCAGCACGCCGCGGUGAAUACGUUCCCGGGCCUUGUACACACCGCCCGUCACACCACGAGAGUUUGUAACACCCGAAGUCGGUGAGGUAACCUUUUGGAGCCAGCCGCCUAAGGUGGGAUAGAUGAUUGGGGUGAAGUCGUAACAAGGUA
rnacentral:rRNA from 1 species